GCUGAGUUUGUGGCGCGCUUAGUGAUGGGAUGGCCCUGUGCAGGACGCCGACACGAAAAGAUGAAGAGUUCAAUCCGUGCUGUCUGAACUCACAGUGUAGCAGGCGAGAUAGACGGGAAGAUCGGUAGGGUGGGAGAUGCCGGAAAGGCUUCCCGUGAGACUGGAUAAGAAAUCAAAAAUCUGGUGAAAUUGCCGGCAAGAGGGAGUUAAGGACAUUCCAGGCAGAGGCAAGAUUCCUAAGAUGAGGACACAGCAUCCUGGGCCACUGUCACUAAUACAAAUUUGCCUCUGGAGGGACUCUACGGAAGAUAAUUCCCCUGAAAUUUGGAGAGUUGAAUUAAGCUAGGACUGAUUCUGGCUGGAAUUUGUGGUGGCUACGUACCCUAGAGGGCCUCAAGGAAACCCACGGUUCAAGACAGCCCUGACAGAUUCUGGAGUCUAGAACAGAAAUGGAUUUGAACAUGGGCAAGGCCAACCACCCAGUUCACGGCCUGUGUACAGCAAAGAUUACGUUACAGCCUGAGAGCUAAGCCUGGAAGCUCUUUCAUCCAUCCGUUUGUCCAUCUAUCCAUCCAUCUGCUCAUCCAUCCCUCCAUCUGCUCAACAAACGUUAGAGAAUCAAUCCUUGUGUCAGAUACUGGGGCUGCCCUCAAGGAGCUUUUAUAGAGUUCAGGGUACAGCCAGGUGGGGGAGACAGAUCACUAUAAAAACCUACCACUAUAAUCCAAAGGACAAGAGCAAAAAUAGUAAAGAGGAGAGAAGACCCAAAUUUGCCUGGUGGGUCAGAGAGGGCUUUCUAGAAGAGGUAAAAAAUCUUCGGGGCUAUCACUUCACCUUGCCUGGUGGAUAAAGGGAGGACUUUCCAGAUACAGUGGACAGAAUGUGCAGAGGCAGGAGCCAUGAGUGGCAGAGGCAGGGGAGGGACUGCAGAGACAGGUUGGAGCCAAAGCACGUGGCACUGGAGCCAUAGCCAAAGGAACAAACUGUGAGACCUGGGACUUGAAUUUGGAGGUGGUGAAAAGUGACAAGGUCUUCACAGAAGAGUGAUUUUUUCAACUUAGGGAAGGCUGACCCCAGACCAAUGCUGCCAAAGUGUGGUCUGUGGGCUGUUAGCAGUUCGUGACGAUGUAAGUACAGGAAUUGAGAUUAAGCAUUUAGAACACCUACAGCACUUUGAUAGUCAUUUUACUUUUUAAAUUUUGAGCUGGCAUUUUAUAUGCCUGGUUUUUUUUUGUUUUUGUUUUUUUAUUUUUUUUGAGACAGUCUCGCUCUGUCGCCCAGGCUGGAGUGCAGUGGCGCGAUCUCUGCUCACUGCAAGCUCCGCCUCCCGGGUUCACGCCAUUCUCCUGCCUCAUCCUCCCAAGUAGCUGGGA
rnacentral:lncRNA from 1 species